AUUGAACGCUGGCGGAAUGCUUUACACAUGCAAGUCGAACGGUAGAGGGGGCAACCCCUCGAGAGUGGCGAACGGGUGAGUAAUAUAUCGGAACGUGCCCAGUCGUGGGGGAUAACGUAGCGAAAGUUACGCUAAUACCGCAUACGAUCUAAGGAUGAAAGCGGGGGAUCGCAAGACCUCGCGCGAUUGGAGCGGCCGAUAUCAGAUUAGGUAGUUGGUGGGGUAAAGGCUCACCAAGCCAACGAUCUGUAGCUGGUCUGAGAGGACGACCAGCCACACUGGAACUGAGAGACGGUCCAUACUCCUACGGGAGGCAGCAGUGGGGAAUUUUGGACAAUGGACGCAAGUCUGAUCCAGCCAUUCCGCGUGCAGGAUGAAGGCCCUCGGGUUGUAAACUGCUUUUGUACGGAACGAAAAGGUCUCUCUUAAUACGGGGGACUCAUGACGGUACCGUAAGAAUAAGCACCGGCUAACUACGUGCCAGCCGCCGCCGUAA
rnacentral:rRNA from 1 species